GGAUGGAGAGUAAUCGGUCGGGACUGUGCUGCAUUUUGUGCAAAGAAGUACUCAGACCACCUGCACCGUUUCCACGAGGAUGGAGACACGUGGCAGUAGCAGCUUCUAUCCACUAGAGAGAGCUGUUCACAUCAAUCAUACUUUUAUGACGUGACAGUCGUAGAUCGUCAUUGAAUUACUGGUACAACAGGUUAGUUAGGGAAUAUACUGGGUUAAAUAUUAAAUUGACAGGAGGUUUAAAGGUGUGAUGCUGUUAAUUUACAUAAGCGAGAUAUUCUGCAGGUCAUGCACAUUUUCCAUUUCACUUCAAUGAAAUCAGUCGGCUCUAACAUCUGUGACAUCUGUCCAGGGGUGAUGUGUUGCUCUAGCAUACAUGAUUCUAACGCUUUACAGAGAGACAAAUCAGUGGUAAUGGUUUAUUUAACCUUGUGCCAGAUACUUCGACACAAAGCAUCUGACAACGUUUGUAUCCCUUUAUUUUGUAUAUUUAACUGUUGAGACUUUAGUCUCUUGAUAUUAAAUUUAAGCUUUUAGGGAACAUGUUUUUCUUUAUUAUGAGGUUAAGGUAUUAAUAAAACUGCCUUUCAGAA